rnacentral:rRNA from 1 species
AUACGUAGGGGGCGAGCGUUGUCCGGAAUUACUGGGCGUAAAGAGCUCGUAGGUGGUUUGUCGCGUCGUCUGUGAAAUUCCGGGGCUUAACUCCGGGCGUGCAGGCGAUACGGGCAUAACUAGAGUACUGUAGGGGAGACGGGAAUUCCUGGUGUAGCGGUGAAAUGUGCAGAUAUCAGGAGGAACACCGGGGGCGAAGGGGGGUCUCUGGGCAGUAACGGACGCUGAGGAGCGAAAGCAUGGGUAGCGAAAAGGAUUAGAUACCCUGGUGGUCCAUGCCGUAAACGGGGGGCGCUAGGUGUAGGGGUCUUCCACGACUUCUGUGCCGUAGCUAACGCAUUAAGCGCCCCGCCUGGGGAGUACGGCCGCAGGGCUAAAACUCAAAUGAAUUGACGGGG